GCAGAUGACUGGACAAACCCUUUACCACUCCUGGGAGAACUGGGAAGGUGAUGUCCAUCACCUUAACAGACUGUAAAUUCUUGGGAACAGGGCCUGAGUUUUAUUCCCCUCUUGCCCAGCAGCUGUCAAGAUGCCCAACACAGAGCAGUUGCUUAAUAUGCACAUUCUUUGCUGCACAAGCUUUUUCAAAAACUGCUGCUGAGUUUGCACGAUGAAGCUGCUGUGGACUGAAUAUUUGUGUUUUCUCCAAAUUCGCACGAAGCCCUAACCCCCCAUGCGUCUAUAUUUGGAGAUGGGGCCUUUACAGAGCCAUGUGGGACGCGUUUGUUUCACCUUCACCUUCCACUGUGAUUGUAUUUCCUGAGGCAUCUCCAGAAUCAGAAGGCUGUACAGCAUGAAAAACCAUGAG
rnacentral:lncRNA from 1 species